rnacentral:rRNA from 1 species
UGGGCAACCUGCCCCUCUCUCUGGGAUAACCCCGGGGAAACCGGAGCUAAUACCGGAUACUCCGGCUGGAUCGCAUGGUCCGGCCGGGAAAGGUCCGCCGGAGAGGGAUGGGCCCGCGGCCUAUCAGCUUGUUGGUGAGGUAACGGCUCACCAAGGCUACGAUGCGUAGCCGACCUGAGAGGGUGAUCGGCCACAUUGGAACUGAGACACGGUCCAGACUCCGUACGGGAGGCA